rnacentral:rRNA from 1 species
GCUUAGUGAGGCGUCCGGACUGGUCCAGGAAGGCGGGCAACCGCCCUCCAGGACCGGAAAGCUCUCCAAACUUGGUCAUUUAGAGGAAGUAAAAGUCGUAACAAGGUCUCCGUUGGUGAACCAGCGGAGGGAUCAUUA